CGGGGGGCAGCAGUGGGGAAUCUUGCGCAAUGGGCGAAAGCCUGACGCAGCGACGCCGCGUGAGUGAUGAAGGCCUUCGGGUUGUAAAGCUCUGUGGGGAGAGAAGAAUAAGUGCAGCCUAAUAUGCUGCAUGAUGACGGUAUCUCCUUAGCAAGCACCGGCUAACUCUGUGCCAGCAGCCGCGGUAAGACAGAGGGUGCAAACGUUGUUCGGAAUUACUGGGCGUAAAGCGUGUGUAGGCGGCCACAUAAGUCGGAUGUGAAAGCCCCGGGCUCAACCCGGGAAGUGCACUCGAUACUGUGUGGCUUGAGUACUGGAGAGGUUGGUGGAAUUCUCGGUGUAGAGGUGAAAUUCGUAGAUAUCGAGAGGAACACCGGUGGCGAAGGCGGCCAACUGGACAGAUACUGACGCUGAGACACGAAAGCGUGGGUAGCAAACAGGAUUAGAUACCCCGGU
rnacentral:rRNA from 1 species